rnacentral:rRNA from 1 species
GUACCAUAACCGACACAGGUGGGUAAGUAGAGUAUACUAAGGGGCGCGAGAUAACUCUCUCUAAGGAACUCGGCAAAAUAACUCCGUAACUUCGGGAGAAGGAGUGCCUUAUUCUUAAGGUUGCAAUAACAAGAUCCAAGCAACUGUUUAUCAAAAACACAGGUCUCCGCUAAGUCGUAAGACGAUGUAUGGGGGCUGACGCCUGCCCAGUGCCAGAAGGUUAAAGAAGUCGGUUAGCAAUAGCAAAGCUGGUAACUGAAGCCCUGGUGAACGGCGGCCGUAACAAUAACGGUCCUAAGGUAGCGAAAUUCCUUGUCGGGUAAGUUCCGACCCGCACGAAAGGCGUAAUGAUUUGGAUGCUGUCUCGGAGAGGGGCUCGGUGAAAUAGACUUGUCUGUGAAGAUGCGGACUACCUGCACCAGGACAGAAAGACCCUAUGAAGCUUUACUGUAACUUGAAAUUGAAAUUGGACUUUAUUCGCGCAGUAUAGGUGGGAGGCGUUGAUUAUAAUCUUGUGGGAUUAUUGGAGCCAUCAGUGAGAUACCACUCUUGUAAUGUUAGAUUUCUAACUUUGAAUCAUUAUCUGGUCAAAGGACAGUUUCAGGCGGGCAGUUUGACUGGGGCGGUCGCCUCCUAAACGGUAACGGAGGCGUACAAAGGUUUCCUCUGAACGGUUAGAAAACGUAUCUAGAGUGUAAAGGCAUAAGGAAGCUUGACUGUGAGACCUACAAGUCGAGCAGGGACGAAAGUCGGUCUUAGUGAUCUGACGGUACUGAGUGGAAAGGCCGUCACUCAACGGAUAAAAGUUACUCUAGGAUAACAGGCUGAUCUCCCCCAAGAGUUCACAUCGACGGGGAGGUUUGGCACCUCGAUGUCGGCUCAUCGCAUCCUGGGGCGGUAGUACGUCCCAAGGGUUGGGCUGUUCGCCCAUGUAAGCGGUACGCGAGCUGGGUUCAGAACAUCGUGAGACAGUUCGGUCCAUAUCCGGUGUAGGCGCUAGAAUAUUGAGAGGAGCCUUCUUUAGUACGAGAGGACCGAGAAGGACAUACCUCUGGUGUACCAGUUAUCGUGCCAACGGUAAACGCUGGGUAGCUAUGUAUGGAGUGGAUAACCGCUGAAAGCAUCUAAGUGGGAAGCCCACCUCAAGAUAAGUAUUCUCAUCACGUAAGUGAGUAAGGUCACGGUAAGACUAACCGUUUGAUAGGCAUUAAGUGUAAGUACAGUAAUGUAUGUGCUGAGAUGUCCUAAUAGACCGAGGACUUG